CCUACGGGUGGCAGCAGUGAGGAAUAUUGGUCAAUGGACGAGAGUCUGAACCAGCCAAGUAGCGUGAAGGAUGACUGCCCUAUGGGUUGCAAACUUCUUUUAUAUGGGAAUAAAAUGUUCCACGUGUGGGAUUUUGUAUGUACCAUAUGAAUAAGGAUCGGCUAACUCCGUGCCAGCAGCCGCGGUAAUACGGAGGAUCCGAGCGUUAUCCGGAUUUAUUGGGUUUAAAGGGAGCGUAGGUGGAUUGUUAAGUCAGUUGUGAAAGUUUGCGGCUCAACCGUAAAAUUGCAGUUGAAACUGGCAGUCUUGAGUACAGUAGAGGUGGGCGGAAUUCGUGGUGUAGCGGUGAAAUGCUUAGAUAUCACGAAGAACUCCGAUUGCGAAGGCAGCUUACUGGACUGCAACUGACACUGAGGCUCGAAAGUGUGGGUAUCAAACAGGAUUAGAUACCCCUGUAGUC
rnacentral:rRNA from 1 species